rfam:Triticum aestivum genome assembly, contig: Triticum_aestivum_CS42_TGACv1_scaffold_147954_2BS
GUAGUAUUCCCUCCGUCCCAAAAUUCUUGUCUUACAUUUGUUUAGAUACGGAUGUAUCUAACACUAAAAUGUAACAAGAUACAUCCAUAUUUAGAAAAAGUUAAGACAAGAACUUUGGGACGGAGGGAGUACAAA